CUUCGAUCGAGGGGUGUCACAGCAGUGGAUGGCGCUUUGUAAAGCUUUGACUGAGGCGUGUCACCGCAAGGACGACACUUUGUAAAGCUUUUGCAAUGUUUCGACGUUGACCCACAGGGGGCGAUGCCUAGGAGAUGACUUGAAGCUUUCACAGCGCUUCGACUGAGGCGUUGACCCACAGAGAUUACAGGAUUGAAACUGUGUAAAGCUUGUGAUCCAAAACGUGUAGCAUGGAGUCUUGAAUGAUGUGUCACUAGGAAGAUGGUUGGAUACGAUAAUAGAAAAGGCUUUCGCAAUGCUUCAAUCGAGGCGUUGAUCCACAUGAGACUACUCUUCAACCGAGGGCUGACCUAUAGGGAAAUGACACCUAGGAGAUGGCCUGAAGUUUUGUAAAGCUUUCGUAAGACUUUGACUGAGGCGCUGACCCACAUGGGACUACACAUCAGGAGAGUUGAAGCUCUGUAAAGUUGAGUAGCACAUCUUCAAUCGAGGAGCUCUGUAACUCUAUGAAUAAAUCUGCCUUGCAACUAAUUGGAUUAAUUUCUGACAUAAGCAUUGGAGGCCUACUAUUUGAAGCAUCUUUGUAUGGAAAGAUUGGUAAUCCUGACCUGAAAUAUCCAGCAUGCAUCAAAAAGCAAUUGUACCUGCACGUGGUGUUAAAUUUUACUCUUCACGUUGCUCAAGCCAUGGACUGUUUAAACACAAACGAAAUUAUAGAUUGAGAAUUAAAACUUGGUAUUUGAUUGGGCAAUGAGCAAUUGAAGAUUUUAUUCAUCUAUAAUAUUGUUAUAUUGUGUAGUUUCGAACAAUUUUAUUGUUUCAGUGGAGAUUUUAAUAUUUUGUUCACCAGGAUUUCAUAUUGUGUAGGUUAGUUUGAAGGGGU
rnacentral:lncRNA from 1 species